rnacentral:rRNA from 1 species
UACAGAGGGUGCGAGCGUUGUCCGGAAUCACUGGGCGUAAAGGGCGCGUAGGCGGGCUGCCGCGUCCGGGGUGAAAUCCUCCGGCUCAACCGGGGAAGGGCCUCGGAUACGGGCGGCCUCGAGGGGGGUAGGGGCGUGCGGAACUGUGGGUGGAGCGGUGAAAUGCGUUGGGAUCCACAGGAACUCCGGUGGCGAAGGCGGCACGCUGGACCCCUUCUGACGCUGAGGCGCGAAAGCCAGGGGAGCGAACGGG